rnacentral:misc_RNA from 1 species
UCCGGUUUGUCACCGGCAGUCUCACAUGAGUCCCCAACUAAAUGCUGGCAACAUGCGACGGGGGUUGCGCUCGUUGCGGGACUUAACCCAACACCUCACGGCACGAGCUGACGACAGCCAUGCAGCACCUGUGCAGCAGCCCUUGCGGGAAACUUCAUCUCUGAAGCUGUCUACUGCAUGUCAAGCCUGGGUAAGGUUCUUCGCGUUGCAUCGAAUUAAACCACAUGCUCCACUGCUUGUGCGGGUCCCCGUCAAUUCUUUUGAGUUUCAGCCUUGCGACUGUACUUCCCAGGCGGUAUACUUAACGCGUUAGCUUCGGCACAACUAGGGUUGAGUCCAGUUACACCAAGUAUACAUAGUUUACGGCAAGGACUAC